GCUGUUUUUCCUGCUUCUCCAUUUAGGGUGUGACGGGCAGGUGCUUCUCCACAGGUGUUCCUCAUCUGUCAGCAAUCCGCUGGGCUUCUUUAGGGAGUGGAGAGCCAGAGGAAGGUGUCAGCUCCUUGUUGUUCACUCAGUGAUCCAGCCUUGUCAAGUGUUUCAUUGCACCAGCAGGAUGGAGUCGUUUCUGAAGGAGUGUGAAAGCUCAAAGUCACGACACCUUCGACUUAUGAUCCCUGCUCUAUUCUCCAACUCCAAGCCCAGCCUCUCAAAGAACUCACCAAGCCUAACUCAGAGGAGCAUUCACCUGCCUGUCCACCCAUCAACGUCCCCCUCAAGUCACAGCGGAGCUUCGCCGCAGAAAAAGGGACAACACCAACUGGAGAUUACUGGAUCAAGCCCGUUCACAGCCUGCCAACCACAGACACUGUGGAGAAGGACUUAUUCCCCCUUCGUCUAGCUCAAACCUCCAACUCAAUUAAUCCCAGUCUGAUCAACCUACCCAGUCCUGGUUCCUGUUCAUCCACUCCCCUGGCUUUAAUAAUAAACCCUUUCAAAACAUA